rnacentral:rRNA from 1 species
UACGUAGGGCGCAAGCGUUGUCCGGAAUUAUUGGGCGUAAAGAGCUCGUAGGCGGUCUGUCGCGUCGGAUGUGAAAGCCCGGGGCUUAACCCCGGGUCUGCAUUCGAUACGGGCAGACUAGAGUGUGGUAGGGGAGGAUCGGAAUUCCUGGUGUAGCGGUGAAAUGCGCAGAUAUCAGGAGGAACACCGGUGGCGAAGGCAGAUCUCUGGGCCAUUACUGACGCUGAGGAGCGAAAGCGUGGGGAGCGAACAGG